rnacentral:rRNA from 1 species
CAAGCGCCAGGGUACUACGAGCUAAAGCUUAAAACCCAAAGGACUUGACGGUGUCCCAUCCACCUAGAGGAGCCUGUUCUGUAAUCGAUAACCCCCGCUACACCCAACCACCCCUUGCCUCUUCCAGCCUGUAUACCGCCGUCGUAAACCCACCGUAUGAAUGCCCCAGUCGGUUCAAGGGACCCUACCAGCACGUCAGGUCAAGGUGCAGCCCAUGGGAUGGAAGAAAUGGGCUACAAUCUCUAAAAUAGAACAAACAGAAAAUUAUGUGAAACCAUAAAAUGAAGGAGGAUUUAGCAGUAAAAAGAAAAUAGCGAGUUCUUUUUAACUAGGCCCUGGGACGUGUACACACCGCCCGUCACCGUUUGCAGUAGG